UUUUAGGCUGUGACACUGUUUGUGCAUCAGCUUCCUCUUUGUUUUCCACUCGCUACUCUGACGUUUUCAUUCGCUCGCAGGAAAAUGAUGCUCUCCUCCUGGGUCCAAUGUACGCACUAUGUUAAUUAGAAGAAAAACAACCUCUCUCUUCAUCUCCUGGUACUUCUCGGAUCUCAGGAAGCGGCCGAAGGAGUCCUUCUCCAUCAGAGCAUAAAUUCUCUUCUGGGCCAGGUCAAAGGUUGUGGAGGAAAGGUCAACCAGGUUCCUCAGGGUCACAUCCUUGGUGUAAUGAUCAAUGUUCACCUUAAGGGAGGAAAAGUGAGAAGGAUGGGAGGGAGGAAAGAGUCAGAGAGAGAGAGACAGAGAGAGACGGAGACAGGAAGGAUAAGGUGUGGCAUAUCAAGAAGUUGAUUAAACCACAUGAUCAUGCAUAGGUGUACCUUGUGCUGGGGACAAUAAAAGAACACUAAGAUUUGCAGUUUUGUCACACAACACAAUGCCACAGAUGUCUCAAGUUUUGAGGGAGCGUGCAAUUGGCAUGCUGACUGCAGGAAUGUCCACCAGAGCUGUUGCCAGAUAAUUUAAUGUUCAUUUUACCAUAAGCCACCUCCAACAUCGUUUUAGAGAAUUUGGCAGUACGUCCAACCGGCCUCACAGCCACAGACCACGUGUAACCACGCCAGCCCAGGACCUACACAUCCGGCUUCUUCACCUGCGGGAUUGUCUGAGACCAGCCACCCGGACAGCUGAUGAAACUGAGGAGUACUUAUGUCUGUUAUAAAGCCAUUUUUGUAGGGAAAAACUCAUUGGCCUAUGCCCUCCCAGGCCCACCUAUGGCUGCGCCCUUGCCCAGUCAUGUGAAAUUCAUGAAUUAGGGCCUAAUACAUUUUUUUCAAUUAACUGAUUUCCUUAUAUGAACUGUGACUCAGACAUUUGUUGAAAUUGUUGCAUGUUGCUUUUAUAUUUUUGUUUAGUAUAAAUAAAUAACCAGAACCCUGAUCCAACAACUUCCCUUGACUCAGAAAAAAGAAAAAACACUCUUUGCUUUCAUCUAUCCAGGGACUCUACUAUAGUGAACAUUACUGCAGAAACACAAAGGUCGUGGAUGCGUGUCCUAUUGUCUACCUCUGAUGUUAUAUCUCUGGCUUUUCCCCCCCAUCUAAAUGGCCACUUUGAGACAAUGUGUUACACAGAGAGGCAAUAAAACGCAGCAAUCUGAAAUCAAAUGACACAAAACCCUAUGGAUGAUCAAAUUUCUUCUGGAGAAGAACAUUGAAUUGAACUGUAGUGAACUAUUUUAUUUUUCUUGGAUUGAAACUUCACUUGUGGCAUUUAGUAGGCUAUUGAAUCACACUGCUACACACCAACAUAAUAACAUUACAGAACAUAAUCUUCACCAAUUCACCACAAUCUUCACCACUUUCCCCAUGCUACCUGUUUGUUCAGGUUUCCUAACAAACUUUAUUUCUGUUAAAUCAAUGUUCCAUAUUACACUAUAUAUAAACAUUUAUGUGGACACCCCUUCAAAUUAGUGGAUUUGGCUAUUUCAGCCACAUUCGUUGCUGACAGUUUUAUAGAAUCGAGCACACCGCCAUGCAAUCUCCAUAGGACCAUUGGCAGUAGAAUGGCCUUUCUGAAGAGGUCAAUGACUUUUAAUGUGGCACCCUCAUAGGAUGCCACCUUUCCAACAAGUAAGUUUGUCAAAUUUCUGCUCUGCUAGAGUUGCCCCGGUCAACUGUAAGUGCUGUUUUUUGAAGUGGAAAUGUCUAUGAGCAACAACGGCUCAGCCGCGAAGUGGUAGCCCACACAAACUCACAGAACGGGAUUGCCGAGAGCUGAAGCGCAUAGAGUGUAAAAAUCAUCUGUCCUCGGUUGCAACACUCACUACCGAGUUCCAAACUGCCUCUGGAAACAAUGUCAGCACAAUAACUGUUCAUUUGGAGGCCAAGCAGCCUCACACAAGCAUAAGAUCACCAUGUGCAAUGCCAAAGCAAACUGCCAUUGGACUCUGGAGCAGUGGAAAUGUGUUCUCUGGAGUGAUGAAUCACGUUUCACCAUCUGGCAGUCUGAAGGAUGAAUCUGGGUUUGGCAGAUGCCAGGUGAACGCUAACUACUUGAAUGCAUAGUGCAAACUGUAAAGUUUGGUGGAUGAGGAAUAAUGGUCUGGGGCUGUUUUUCAUGGUUCGGGCUAGGCCCCUUAGUUCCAGUGAAGGGAAUCUUAACGCUACAGCAUACAAUGACAUUCUAGACGAUUCUGUGCUUUCAACUUUGUAGCAACAUUUUGGGGAAGGCCCUUUCCUGUUUCAGCAUGACAUUGCCCCUGUGCACAAAGCGAGGUCUAUACAGAAAUGUUUUGUUGAGAUCGGUGUUCAAGAACUUGACUGGCCUGCACAGAGCUCUGACCUUAACCCCAUCAAACACAUUUGGGAUGAAUUGGAACACCGACUGAAAGCCAGGCCUAAUCGCCCAACCUCAGUGCCCGACCUCACUAAUGCUCUUGUGGCUGAAUGGAAUCAAGUUCUCGCAGCAAUAAUCCAACAUCUUGUGGAAAGCCUUCCCAGAAGAAAGGACAUUGUUAUAGCAGCAAAGGGGGCACCAACUCCCAAUUAAUUCCCAUGAUUUUGGAAUGUGAUGUUCAACGAGCAGGUGUCCACAUAUUUUUGGUCAUGUAGUGUAUCUGUAUUCAAUAGACGGUUCUGAUUGAAAGUGUUUUUUUUUGCAGUGUGGAGCAGUUCCCAGGAAAUAAUUUAAUGCAAUUGUUAGAUGCUACCACACCCACCUCCAAAUCAAAACCAAACAUACUGUAGAUGUCAAUGUUUGCUCGCACACUCUCCGUUUUACUUCCUGUCCGGCAGCAUGGUGCCUGUAUUGCGACGCUGAUUAGCUAGGACAAACAGGUGUGAAACACAGACAAGUGUGCGCAGAAAAUGAGAACACAACAUGAAAUUCAUGUUUGGUUUUGAUUUAGAGGAGGGUGGUAGCAUCUAACAUUUGGAUUUAAUAUGAAACAGAAAAUGUGUUUUCACAUGUGAAGUGAAAACAUGUUAAUCUUCUCACAUGUGAAAAGGUGG